rnacentral:rRNA from 1 species
CGGCGGACGGGUGAGUAACGCGUGGGUAACCGUGCCUCAUACAGGGGAGUAACAGUUGGAAACGGCUGCUAAUACCGCAUAAGCGCACAGUACCGCAUGGUACGGUGUGAAAAACUCCGGUGGUAUGAGAUGGACCCGCGUCUGAUUAGCCAGUUGGCGGGGUAACGGCCCACCAAAGCGACGAUCAGUAGCCGACCUGAGAGGGUGACCGGCCACAUUGGGACUGAGACACGGCCCAA